CUCUACUCACCCACAAACCAACUGAAAAAUGAUAGGUACUGUUGUGGAAACUGGCCCUAAACUAUCUAUGGGGCUCAUGGUCAACAAAUUGAAGUAGCGAUUAAUGCAGCGAUACUUUUCAUGUGAAAUCUACGAGAAGCGUAGGAGAAUAUCGCUUGCUGCACGAUUACAACUUCAGACAAUGCAUGUGGUUGAAGUGUGGAUCUUUUAGCAACAACAGUUCGACCAUCAUCACAUCAUCGAAUCUACAGCCCGCACGAAAACCAACGGGCAAGUGAAUGAGAGAAUUCGAAGUGGAAAAAUCGAGUAGGAAACUCAAUGUUACCAGAAAAGAUUCAAACGUCCUCUUGCUGUAUAUUAACAAUGUAAAAAUACACACGUCAUCACUAGAGAAGCAAUGACAAGUACACAAAUCAGUUGUGCACUGAAAUGGAAUUUACAGGUCCACUCAGGGAAAGAGCUGGCGGCCAUUUUGAAAUCAGUAUUCUAGAUUCCUGUCAACGUAAGGAACCACUAAACCAUUUGAAUAUGAAACAGUAAUUAAACGUCGCUAACCGCACAGUUGCCGUCGAUUGCACAAAUGGCCCAAUCGGACGAAGGCGUGAGCCCUACUUCUCGAAUUGACUUUCGUACUAUCAGCUACACCUCAAUUUGUACAAAGAGUUACAAUUAGCUACCAUGCCUCCUUGACCCUGAUAAAAAUAAAAAUAAAAAACCAUUCAUUCAUCACUAACUUCAGUACCUCCAAUCACCGAUCUGGUGUCUCGCAGACGCUUCUCUCACAUGAGAACAAAAACUGCAAAGAAACGUCAUGUCUUCAAGAUCGGUGAAAACAGGACCAAACAUAUCCAUUCUCAGAGUCAUAAUUCUUGCGAUUGAAGAAAAAUCCAUUCACACACUUCACAAAUUAACUGUCUGCGAGCAACCAUCUCGAUCGAUCCCUUUCCGAUUGCACUCCUCCCAGAAACACCGACAGUCUACGACGGGACGUCACUUGAACGAGCAAUGGCGACGCCCAUCGCAAGCAACGCAAUUCUCGUCACAACCGCUCGACAGCAACCUCUUCUCGAUUCCAGCAACAAACCCAAAUCUCUCGUCCCUUGCCGAGAUGGCUUCCAACGAAUCCUUCCGCCGUUAGCUUCCAUGAAGCAAACCCUAAACACACCGAAGCGAUUACGCCGCGUUUCCCGUGUCAACGCACCGAUGAACAAUGAGAUGAACAAUAGUGG
rnacentral:lncRNA from 1 species